UACAGAGGGGGCAAGCGUUGUUCGGAAUUACUGGGCGUAAAGGGCGCGUAGGCGGCCUGUUAAGUCGAACGUGAAAUCCCCGGGCUCAACCCGGGAACUGCGUCCGAUACUGGCAGGCUUGAAUUCGGGAGAGGGAUGCGGAAUUCCAGGUGUAGCGGUGAAAUGCGUAGAAUAUCUGGAGGAACACCGGUGGCGAAGGCGGCCGAUCUAGG
rnacentral:rRNA from 1 species